GUGGGGAAUUUUGGACAAUGGGCGCAAGCCUGAUCCAGCAAUGCCGCGUGCAGGAAGAAGGCCUUCGGGUUGUAAACUGCUUUUGUACGGAACGAAACGGUCCUGGCUAAUAUCCGGGGCUAAUGACGGUACCGUAAGAAUAAGCACCGGCUAACUACGUGCCAGCAGCCGCGGUAAUACGUAGGGUGCGAGCGUUAAUCGGAAUUACUGGGCGUAAAGCGUGCGCAGGCGGUGCUGUAAGACAGGCGUGAAAUCCCCGGGCUCAACCUGGGAAUUGCGCUUGUGACUGCAGUGCUGGAGUGCGGCAGAGGGGGAUGGAAUUCCGCGUGUAGCAGUGAAAUGCGUAGAUAUGCGGAGGAACACCGAUGGCGAAGGCAAUCCCCUGGGCCUGCACUGACGCUCAUGCACGAAAGCGUGGGGAUCAAACAGGAUUAGAUACCCUUGUAGUCC
rnacentral:rRNA from 1 species